rnacentral:rRNA from 1 species
UACGUAGGUGGCAAGCGUUGUCCGGAUUUAUUGGGCAUAAAGCGAGCGCAGGCGGUCUGUUAAGUCAGCGGUCAAAGCCCGGGGCUCAACCCCGGCCCGCCGUUGAAACUGGCAGUCUCGAGUUGGAGAGAAGUAUGCGGAAUGCGCGGUGUAGCGGUGAAAUGCAUAGAUAUCGCGCAGAACUCCGAUUGCGAAGGCAGCAUGCCGGCUCCACACUGACGCUGAGGCACGAAAGCGUGGGUAUCGAACAGG